UCCUGCCUUUAUUUGGAACUGGAGCUGACUCAAACCUGCUGCUCUUGGAAAGACGCCAUCAGAACAGGCUCCAACAGAAAGAUGAGCCGUGAGGGGAUAUGAGUGUGAGGGAGUGGGGCAAUCAUGAAGAAUGAGAAAAUGAGACAGGGGAAUGGAAAAGGCUCUUGCCUUGAGUUCCUGCGCUGAGGUCCCUCAGUGAUGGAGUGAUACCUGGAGACAUGAGAUAAAAGAUAAACCCUUCCCUUCGCAAGGUGCUUUGGGGCUUGGUGCUUAGCACAGCCAUGGAAACCCAGAUGAAAAGAAUGUGCAAAUCUGAGAAGAAAAGGAUAUUAAGAAGCAAUCCCUAAUUAUUCUGGAAUCACUGCAAACAAUUGACAAAAGCCACUGAAAAACAAUGCACUAUCUGUAAUGGCCACAUUUCUUUUUAUUUUUCUGGUUCUGCCCAAUACAUUUAAUGAAAUAAAGA